rnacentral:rRNA from 1 species
GACGAACGCUGGCGGCGUGCCUAACACAUGCAAGUCGAACGAAGUGGCGAACGGGUGAGUAACGCGUAAUCAACCUGCUCUUCAGCGGGGGACAACAGUUGGACACGACUGCUAAUACCGCAUACGGAAGGAGGGGAUUGCGUGUGAUUAGUUAGUUGGAGGGGUAACGGCCCACCAAGGCGAAGAGCAGUAACCGGUCUGGGAGGAUGAACGGCCAAAUUGGGAAUGAGAAACGGCCCAGACUCCUACGGGAGGGAGCAAGUGGGAAUCUUCCGCAAUGGACGGAAGUCUGACGGAGCAACGCCGCGUGAGUGAUGACGGCCUUCGGGUUGUAAAGCUCUGUUAGUCGGGACGCGGUACCGGAAUAGAAAGCCACGGCUAACUACGUGCCAGCAGCCGCGGUAAUAC